rnacentral:lncRNA from 1 species
UAACGAUCGAAUGCAAUAGGACGUGGCAGAGCCCAGAUUACCUCCCCAGGCAUGAAUACACCCCGUGAACAACCGGGUGCCGGGUCGGGGGACGCCUUUCCCGUUUAACCGGUGGGUGGCCGGCGGCAGGUUUCGAACCACCUACCUUCCGUAGCCGAGACAAGCACCCUAUCCACUAGGCCACGGC